GAUGAACGCUGGCGGCGUGCUUAACACAUGCAAGUCGAACGAAGCACUUUCUUACGAUCCCUUCGGGGUGACGAGUUAGUGACUGAGUGGCGGACGGGUGAGUAACGCGUGGGUAACCUGCCUUAUACAGGGGGAUAACAGUUGGAAACGGCUGCUAAUACCGCAUAAGCGCACAGUACCGCAUGGUACAGUGUGAAAAACUCCGGUGGUAUAAGAUGGACCCGCGUCUGAUUAGCUAGUUGGUGAGGUAACGGCCCACCAAGGCGACGAUCAGUAGCCGAUCUGAGAGGAUGAACGGCCACAUUGGGACUGAGACACGGCCCAGACUCCUACGGGAGGCAGCAGUGGGGAAUAUUGCACAAUGGGCGAAAGCCUGAUGCAGCGACGCCGCGUGAGUGAUGAAGUAUUUCGGUAUGUAAAGCUCUAUCAGCAGGGAAGAUAAUGACGGUAC
rnacentral:rRNA from 1 species